UACGUAGGGUGCGAGCGUUAAUCGGAAUUACUGGGCGUAAAGCGUGCGCAGGCGGUUUUGUAAGCCAGAUGUGAAAUCCCCGGGCUUAACCUGGGAAUGGCAUUUGGGACUGCAAGGCUGGAGUGCGGCAGAGGAGACUGGAAUUCCUGGUGUAGCAGUGAAAUGCGUAGAUAUCAGGAGGAAUACCGAUGGCGAAGGCAGGUCUCUGGGCUGACACUGACGCUCAUGCACGAAAGCGUGGGGAGCA
rnacentral:rRNA from 1 species